rnacentral:lncRNA from 1 species
AAAACUAAACAUACAUAAAGUACUCUAAAAGGACACUUCUGCUAGUAAGCAUCGCAUGGCUACCUCUCUCAGGAUCACACUGAAGAUUGGAAUUGUGCAGUUGGAUUGUGCUGGUAGGCACACCUUGUGGUACUGCAAAGAGGACCCCCUGCCACGUGUAUCUGUCCUACCUCGAGGCAACUCAGACUCUUACGGAGAGACCAGGACUUGAGAAGACAGGACCAUGCUAAUACAGAGCCACCAGAAGUUUUCAGAGAUGGACGUGCUGCUGUCCUUGAGAGGAACUGGAGGACGUCUCCAUUUCUGAACUUUACAACUGUUAUGCAGCUGAAAAACAUCUGGCACUACAAAGAGCAUGAAAGUGAGCUCCCACCCCACCAGCAGAAGCCAGUCACACCAGUAGAGUGGUGUACUACUGCUGCUUCAGCUGUCCAUCCUUCUGCCAGUGGCUGGAUGACUCAAGUCCCAGAAUCUUCUCAAAAAUAUGAGUUGGCUUUGAAGUGA